CGGUUGUCAGUGACUCAGGCCUUGGGCUGUUAAUGCCCUGACGGCUUAUCUAACCUUUAUCUACAAGCAUGAGAAGAAAUCUAAUUUGAGCUCUGCUGCUGAUUCCUUUUGGUUUCAGAAGCUCUGGGCCAGAGAAUACCUACCAGAUCCAAGGCAUCAGAGAAAACAACAUUAAACAAGCAGACUACCCUUCCCCUUCUUGCCACUUAUGCUUUAUGUCCCGGUAGGAGUUCCAGGCUCUACAGGCAAAAGGAUAAAUAAGACAUGGGACAUCCACUCAAAGAACUCAGUGUCUGUAAGCAGACAUAUAAAUACAUUUUACAGAAAUUAUAACAAUGCUGUAUUUGCUCUGAUACUUGACAUUUUGGUUAAAAGUUGAAAGUACUGAGCCAGAGACUAAGCAAAAUGGAUUGUUCUGAACUGACAUACCCCUUAAAAGUCUAAAAGUGAUUCUUUUCCUUUUAUUUACUUUUUCUUUUGCAAGAACUAAAAAUGACUCCUAAAUAGUGUAGACG
rnacentral:lncRNA from 1 species